UACGUAGGGGGCAAGCGUUGUCCGGAAUUAUUGGGCGUAAAGGGCACGCAGGCGGUCUGGUAAGUCUGAUGUGAAAGCCCACGGCUCAACCGUGGAGGGUCAUUGGAAACUGUCAGACUUGAGUGCAGAAGAGGAGAGCGGAAUUCCACGUGUAGCGGUGAAAUGCGUAGAGAUGUGGAGGAACACCAGUGGCGAAGGCGGCUCUCUGGUCUGACACUGACGCUGAGGUGCGAAAGCGUGGGGAGCAAACAGG
rnacentral:rRNA from 1 species